rnacentral:rRNA from 1 species
GACGAACCGUCCUAACGUUGUUCGGAAUCACUGGGCUUAAAGGGCGCGUAGGCGGGUCAGCAAGUCCGGGGUGAAAUCUUUCGGCUCAACCGGAAAAUAGCCUUGGAUACUGCUGGUCUCGAGGGAGGUAGGGGCACGCGGAACUUCCGGUGGAGCGGUGAAAUGCGUAGAUAUUGGGAGGAACACCAGAUGCGAAGGCGGGUCACUGGGCUGAUACUGACGCUGAAGUGCGAAAGCCAGGGGAGCGAACGGG